rnacentral:rRNA from 1 species
UUGCUACCUGCCGGCGAGUGGCGAACGGGUGAGUAAUACAUCGGAACGUGCCCUGUAGUGGGGGAUAACUAGUCGAAAGACUGGCUAAUACCGCAUACGACCUGAGGGUGAAAGUGGGGGACCGCAAGGCCUCAUGCUAUAGGAGCGGCCGAUGUCUGAUUAGCUAGUUGGUGGGGUAAAGGCCUACCAAGGCGACGAUCAGUAGCUGGUCUGAGAGGACGAUCAGCCACACUGGGACUGAGACACGGCCCAGACUCCUACGGGAGGCAGCAGUGGGGAAUUUUGGACAAUGGGGGCAACCCUGAUCCAGCAAUGCCGCGUGUGUGAAGAAGGCCUUCGGGUUGUAAAGCACUUUUGUCCGGAAAGAAAUCGCUUCGGUUAAUACCUGGAGUGGAUGACGGUACCGGAAGAAUAAGGACCGGCUAACUACGUGCCAGCAGCCGCGGUAAUACGUAGGGUCCAAGCGUUAAUCGGAAUUACUGGGCGUAAAGCGUGCGCAGGCGGUUGUGCAAGACCGAUGUGAAAUCCCCGGGCUUAACCUGGGAAUUGCAUUGGUGACUGCACGGCUAGAGUGUGUCAGAGGGAGGUAGAAUUCCACGUGUAGCAGUGAAAUGCGUAGAGAUGUGGAGGAAUACCGAUGGCGAAGGCAGCCUCCUGGGAUAACACUGACGCUCAUGCACGAAAGCGUGGGGAGCAAACAGGAUUAGAUACCCUGGUAGUCCACGCCCUAAACGAUGUCAACUAGUUGUUGGGGAUUCAUUUCCUUAGUAACGUAGCUAACGCGUGAAGUUGACCGCCUGGGGAGUACGGUCGCAAGAUUAAAACUCAAAGGAAUUGACGGGGACCCGCACAAGCGGUGGAUGAUGUGGAUUAAUUCGAUGCAACGCGAAAAACCUUACCUACCCUUGACAUGCCACUAACGAAGCAGAGAUGCAUUAGGUGCUCGAAAGAGAAAGUGGACACAGGUGCUGCAUGGCUGUCGUCAGCUCGUGUCGUGAGAUGUUGGGUUAAGUCCCGCAACGAGCGCAACCCUUGUCUCUAGUUGCUACGAAAGGGCACUCUAGAGAGACUGCCGGUGACAAACCGGAGGAAGGUGGGGAUGACGUCAAGUCCUCAUGGCCCUUAUGGGUAGGGCUUCACACGUCAUACAAUGGUGCAUACAGAGGGUUGCCAAGCCGCGAGGUGGAGCUAAUCCCAGAAAAUGCA